rnacentral:lncRNA from 1 species
GUAAUAUCUGAAGGCAUACUGCUUGAACAGAACUGUCCUGAGGAGACCGUAGCACCGAGAAGAUAGUUAUACACAAAGAAGAAGCGCCGCCGGAACCAUCGAUUACGCCACCCAAUGAAUCCUAGGACGACUGAGAAAACGGAGAGUCCCGUUCGGAGGACUUAAAAACACCGAACGCCUUGCCAAGAGGUAAACGUGGUACUUAUCCUUUUCCCUUUCAAUUAUUUAAAAUAGUUUGCUUAGUUAAUCAGGUUCAUAUCAUCUUGAAAAGAAAAUAAAAAUGUUAAAAAUAGUAAGCCCCAUGUGAAUAUGCUCGUGGCAUAAAACCCAUAAGUACAUUCACUGUGGUGGCGUAAAAGUAAAAUAACUAUAUAUUCCUGUCCUAUAAAAAUGAAAAUAUAAAAAUAAAUUUAUGAUCCUACCAAAGAGAGUAACAUUUAUUGAGGAGGCUCAACAUGAUAAAGGCUAGAUAUUUAUGCUAACACUUAACUAGUUUCACAAAGCUUUGUUGUCUAUUUGAGCUCCAUAGAAUUCAAGGAUCAAAGAAGACUAGCAGACGGAGGACAUCCUAACUGCUGUCAGGGUGCUGCCGAAAUUCAAGUACACAUCCACCACCUGCUAACUACAUCAGAAGAAAUUAUUUCAAAAUCCAGCUUGGGGGAGAGCACCCCCAUUUAUCCAGCUAAGUGUUCUACUCACGUUUAUAUUUUUCUCAAAUAAUAAAAAGAUGCAUAAUCAUAAAAACCCAAAUAAAGAUUUUGUGCUUAUAUAUAUAUCUUUGCUUAGUUUGAUAAAUAAAUAAAUAAAUAAAAUUUGCUAUGAACCCUCAUGAUAAGCUCUCAUAUGGAAAUGAUGAAUAGUUGCUCUGACAUGACUAGUUCUCAAAAUUGAAAUCUCUCUCAAGUUUAGGCAUGACUGUUAUUAAUUAAGAUUUGCUCUAAACCUGAACUUGUGAGAAGAGUACUUGAUCUAAAGUCUAAGUUGUUAACGGAUAUGAUAUGGGAAGGUUGAGCUGUUGUUUAUCUGUUCCUAGAGAUGCUAGAAUUUUAGAGAAUUUUAUCUUUGAAAAUCUUUAAAAUAUCAUAUGAUGAGUUUCUGUAUGAUGAGAGUUUAAAUUCCUACCAUAGCCAUAUAUACAAGCUUGCUAGACUUUGAGCCACAUAUUUUUUUUUACUGCUUAUGAGCAUUGAGUGUAGUCAAGUUGUGUAGACCCUUAGGAGCUUGUCAUGUGGUUAUGUCAAGAUUCACUUGCACGUUCAGUCACACAUGCUGCUUCUACUCCAAAAGUACGCAUUCACAUAUAUCCACCCAUUUCCAUAUCCAGAACCACCCAAAAAUAUUCUACUCCUAAUCCGGGAGAGAAUAGCCAAAAACAUUCUCCUAUUUCUGUUUCCCCUGUGAAAUAAAUGCUCAAGUUAUCUUGGUUACUACCAUUUGCUACAUUAUUAUAAGAGAUGAGUGCUCCAAAAAAAAGAGAAAAAAAGAUACGAGGAAAUAAAAAGGGGCAAGUGCCCGGAACCUCGAAAGAAAAGAAAAAAAAAGUGAGACGAGAGGUAAAAAUGGACAAGUGUCCGAGAGUAGAAUUAGGGGUACAAGAUACCCACCUGAGAGAAUAAGAGAAAAUAUAGAGCAUCUCAUUUCCCUCAAAAAGUUUCAAAAUAGCAAGAAAGGUAUGUAUUCCCUCAAAAGAGCACAAGUAGAAUUAGACUUUCACCAUUGUUAUCACCAUCAUCACAAUACACUAUUUAUUCGCCACACAUGCACAUCUUGAUUGGACUUAUUGACUUGUUUCUCUGGAUCCAUGGUUUGACUAUGCAAUAAAUGUCUUGUAAGUAUGUAUUAGUUGUCUCCCACCUAUGAGCUCCAGAUAUCAAAACCUUAUUAGAGUAGGGUGAGACAGAAGGCAAUGCCACUAUGCCUCAUACCAAAAAUACCACAUACUUUGAGAGAAGGCAUACGCCAUUACUGCCUUGGUAUGGAUCCAGAAAUACCACAAAAGAGAGACUAGAGAGAAUCAUACAAGAAAUCUCUGAGUUUUAUUUGAAAAUAUGCAAAAACUUCAGAGCUAUAUUUAAUUGAAGAACAAUAGACAUGGCGCUUGACUAGACCGUUCUAUUUUUUAACUGCUCAAGACACAAGUGACGGUUGCAAGUCCCAUGGUGGAAGGUAAUAUGAGUAAGUUUAAAUCUUAAUAGUUUACCCUAACCCAUAGAUGAGAUCUUGUUUGAAUGCAUGUAUAUCUUUAAGGCAAACCACUGCAGAAACUCUUGAGUUCAUCUUUGCUAAGGGAUGAGAAAAGGUUAAGCUUGGAGGAGCUUGUUGACGGUCGUUAAUGCUCAUAUUUAACCAUCAAUUAAUCAUGGAAAAGGAUCCAAAUGCAACCAACACCUAGACUUAGGGUUUUCUCUGACAGAAUUCCACGAGUUUUGGUGUUUGUCUAUUUCUACAGGGGGUUAUCAGGAAAUACGGAGGAAAGGCCCACACAUCGGGUUUACAUAGAGAUAUUAACGUGCUGCACAAUUUUCUAUCAUCUAGAAGACUCCAUAAGCCAUGGGAAGGAAGCGGAGGCCGAACGGAGCCAGGCACUGGGCGCCCGUCCAGUUGACCUGGGCGCCCGCCCUCACAUAGAGUCCAAUCAGGACUCUCUUUCGAGAUAUUGCUCCACCGACCUAAGGGAUCAAGGAUAACCGUUCAAUCAAUGUCGGUUUGAUCCAACGGCCUAGAUUCAUUUGAAAAGACUAUAUAAGCAAGGCCCCCUGGCCCCUGGAGAUCAUACCUCUUCUACAAGUAGAGAGGAUCCCUCUAGUUCUUCUAGUUCUACCUCUAGUUCAUCUACAUCUAGUUCUAGUUCAUAUAGUUCUAGUUCUAGUUCCUCUAGUUUUAGUUCUAGUUAGUUUUAGUUGUAAUCUAGAAAAUAGGGAGAGAGAGGAGGAGAGUGGAGG